CCACCUUCAUACUACUGUUCCAUUCUACCAUCUUUAUCCACCUUCAUACUACUGUUCCAUUCUACCAUCUUUAUCCACCUUCAUACUACUGUUCCAUUCUACCAUCCCUCGUUCACCCAGUGAUUCAUUCCUUUGUUAAUGUAUCAUGUCAUUCAUCUGUUCAUCCAAUAGGAAAGCCACAGGUAAGAGGCACUUAGAAAAAUAGAAAAAGUCAUUUAAAAAAACAAAACAAUACAAAAGAGUCUGAAACGGCAUCCUAUUCCCUAUGUGGGGCACUACCCCCUCUGUCUGGUUUCUGAUUGGUCCAUUCAGGAAGCAGGUCCAUUUUGAUUGGUCCAUUUUGAUUGGUCCAUUCAGGAAGCAGAGGCCAGAUUGACAGCAAGCUACCAUUUACAAUAGACUGGGCUAAAAGCCGGGAUUUAAUUAAAGAAGCGAUAAUCAAACAACACUCUCAACAGUGAUCCUUUUAAAGAUGUUUGCAGAGAUGUUGCAUUUGCGGUAAACGCAGCAGAUGUCAUAAAUGACCUUUUAAAAGUCAAGUGCAGUAAGCUUAUCGACAACACAUCUUUGAUUGAAUCUCGGCCCUUGUCUAACAACUAUCUACUACUAACAUCGAUAACUGACGAGACACCUGGUAUCUCUAUUGACUACAGGGUUGGUGUCAAUUCCAUGUCAAUUCCUGUCAAUUCAGAGAGAGAACCAAAUUCCAAAUCUAAAUUCCAAUUCCAAAUUCCAAUUCCAAAUGCUCCUCAUUAAAGAGCAUUGAAGAGAAUUGGAACUUUCUGAAUUGACUGAAAUUGAAACGGAAUGGACACCAACCCUGACUGGUUACCAGUGUUCUUUGAGUGAACUGUGAGGGCAGUUGAAGCUAACUAUUUUCCAAUGAAAUCAAUUCAUUUUAUAGCAUAAUUAGCAUUUCAUCCAAAUGAAUUUCAAAAAGCUGCGAGCUGGAAAGGACUUACUGUAAUAUUCCUGCAUAGAUAUUGAAGUGCAUAUUGAAGAUCAGAUCUAAAAAUACAAAUGUACAUAUGAUCCAGUAAGAAGGUUAGAAACAUUUCAAACAGUAUAAAGAACUAAGCAUUUUGUUAUUAAUUAUGGAGAGUAUUUGUUAUUUUAAACAAUGGAAUAAUGCCUCCGUGUGAAGAAGUAUUCACUAAAAUCUGCUCCAUAUUUUAAACCUGUUUGAUUUCAAAUUCUGUCUAAUCCACCGGUUUGAACUAAGUUCAUUAAAGUAAGUUAGAGUUAAACAAAAAAAAUGUAGGUUUCAUUUUUCUCUCUCUCUCAAUCUCUUUGAAACAUUGAAGGUAUUAAAACAUUGUAACAAAGCUAUUAAACAACUGAUCAGAAGUACAUAGUGUUGCUUAAAUGAAAUAACAAUAACAUGACAAUAUGAAAAUUAAGAGAGAAUAAAUGAAAUAACAAUAACAUGACAAUAUGAAUAUUAAGAGAGAA